UUUCUCAACUUAAAAUAAAGAUGUGACGGAAAGUCAACUAUUGACAGAUCAAAUUGAAGGAGCACCGGUUGGAAUAGACCGAGUGGCUAAUAGUGGAUCAUCGUGGCGUAUUUAAUUAUUUAUGGAGCGACAGUCUGAAUAUUGCCUGUGUCUGGACAAGACUUCAUCUUUUUGAUUCAUGAAGUCUUCGUUUUGCGUAUAUGGUAUUUGGUCUUAUCUUGAUCUGUAGAGAUGCAGUAGAAUAGAUAGACAGACGCCUUAGCAUGUCAGUAUUUGCGAUGUUUGCCACGCAUGAACUCUGUUUUGUUUUCAUCGCACGAUUAUAAUAUAUUUUAACGACAUGCAUUAAGGUAUUGGAAAAUAGUUGCAACCCGGGUACACGGUAGUACCGGGAGUUUUGAGAUACACUGUAAAGGAAACUGUACGCAACUAUGUUAUGUGUAUAAUAUGGGGCCCAGCGUGGCUAUAUGCAUGAUUGCAUGUUAUCGGUUUUGUAAAAGACGGUAUUCGAGGAAUACGCGUUAAAACGAUAACCAGUAAUUGAAAAGUAACGGUUUUAAUUUAACGAAUGUGUUUUCAUAAUGAAAUGCAUUUAAAUCCAUAAUAAAAUGGUCUGCAUAGUGAAAUGCAGUUAUCACCAUAAUGAGUUGGUGUGUGCAUAAUGAGAUGCAUUAUUAACCCCAGUGUAGUGGGUAUGAAACUUGAAUACAUUAAUUAAAUAGGAAAUUAAUUGUAAAGUUUCAUUAUGAUUUUAUCGGAA